rnacentral:rRNA from 1 species
AGUGAACGCUGGCGGUAGGCCUAACACAUGCAAGUCGAACGGCAGCACAGGAGAGCUUGCUCUCUGGGUGGCGAGUGGCGGACGGGUGAGGAAUACAUCGGAAUCUACUUUUUCGUGGGGGAUAACGUAGGGAAACUUACGCUAAUACCGCAUACGACCUACGGGUGAAAGCAGGGGAUCUUCGGACCUUGCGCGAUUGAAUGAGCCGAUGUCGGAUUAGCUAGUUGGCGGGGUAAAGGCUCACCAAGGCGACGAUCCGUAGCUGGUAUGAGUGGAAGCGCAGCCGUAGUGGAAGUGGGCGGCUGUCCAGACUCCUACGGGAGGACGCAGUGGGGAAUAUUGGACAAUGGGCGCAAGCCUGAGCCAGUCAUACCGCGUGAGUGAAGAAGGCCUUCGGGUUGUAAAGCCCUUUUGUUGGGAAAGAAAUCCAGCUGGUUAAUACCCGGUUGGGAUGACGGUACCCAAAGAAUAAGCACCGGCUAACUUCGUGCCAGCCGCCGCCGUAA